CAGCAGCCGCGGGAAUACGUAGGUCCCGAGCGUUAUCCGGAUUUAUUGGGCGUAAAGCGAGCGCAGGCGGUUAGAUAAGUCUGAAGUUAAAGGCUGUGGCUUAACCAUAGUACGCUUUGGAAACUGUUUAACUUGAGUGCAGAAGGGGAGAGUGGAAUUCCACGUGUAGCAGUGAAAUGCGUAGAUAUAUGGAGGAACACCGGUGGCGAAAGCGGCUCUCUGGUCUGUAACUGACGCUGAGGCUCGAAAGCGUGGGGAGCAAACAGGAUUAGAUACCCCGGUAGUCCCUGUCUCUUAUACC
rnacentral:rRNA from 1 species